AGAGUCCUGACUUACGAGGCAUCUAGGUGGUGCAAUGGAUAGAGCACUGGGCUUGGAGUCAGAAAGACU
rnacentral:pre_miRNA from 1 species